GGGGCCGUGGCUCAGAGGCAGAGCGCUUGCCUUGGACGUGAGAGCACUGGGUUCGAUCCUCGGCACCA
rnacentral:tRNA from 1 species